AGUUACUGCCAAGAAGGAAAACAUGCAGCUGAAAGUUAUCCUCGUGGGCUUGACCAUCUUGGGUCUCAUUGUUGCUGAGAGCGCUGCCGUGCCGACCAGCAACAGUGCCAAUGAAGCCGAAGCCAGGUUUGAAUACGACCCUGCUGAGCGGGUAGAGCAUGGCAACGCUGAGGAGGCACGCCAGCUCAGCGAGGGAUGCAUGGCAUCCCUGUGCGGCUAGUAACAUGCUGGAAAGAAAUGGCAUGUUGGCAAGAAUGUCGUACGUGCGAUAAAACUAGAUCGUUUAGAAAUUAACGCGGAAUCGACCACUACACAUCACAUUCCAGUGCCGAAAGCUGAUGUCCGCUGAUUGAUGUUGAAGGCGCUAUUGAAUUAAAUAAAGUUGCUUCGUAAAAAAGC